GAACCAGUACCGUGAGGGAAAGGCGAAAAGAACCCCGGGAGGGGAGUGAAAUAGAUCCUGAAACCGCAUGCAUACAAAAAGUAGGAGCCCGCAAGGGUGACUGCGUACCUUUUGUAUAAUGGGUCAGCGACUUAUAUUUAGUAGCAAGGUUAAGCGAAUAGCGGAGCCGUAGCGAAAGCGAGUGUUAACUGCGCGUUUAGUUGCUAGGUAUAGACCCGAAACCCGGUGAUCUAGCCAUG
rnacentral:rRNA from 1 species